GAUGAAGAACGCAGUGAAAUGCGAUACGUAAUGUGAAUUGCAAAUUCAGUGAAUCAUCGAGUCUUUGAACGCACAUUGCGCCCCCUGGUAUUCCGGGGGGCAUGCCUGUCCGAGCGUCAUUGCUGCCCUCAAGCACGGCUUGUGUGUUGGGCCCCGUCCUCCGAUCCCGGGGGACGGGCCCGAAAGGCAGCGGCGGCACCGCGUCCGGUCCUCGAGCGUAUGGGGCUUUGUCACCCGCUCUGUAGGCCCGGCCGGCGCUUGCCGAUCAACCCAAAUUUUUUAUCCAGGUUGACCUCGGAUCAGGUAGGGAUACCCGCUGAACUUAAGCAUAUCAUAAGCGGAGGA
rnacentral:misc_RNA from 1 species